AGGUUAAGCUGAUAAGGGCACAGGGCGGAUGCCUUGGCACUAAGAGCCGAAGAAAGACGUGACAAGCUGCGAUAAGCUGCGGGGAGGAGCAAAUAUCCGUCAAUCCGCAGAUUUCUGAAUGGGGAAACCCGGCUGGGAAACCCCCAGCCAUCCAUGCGCCAAUACAUAACGCAUGGAGGGGAACCCGGGGAACUGAAACAUCUAAGUACCCGGAGGAAGAGAAAGAAACAUCGAUUCCCGGAGUAGCGGCGAGCGAAAGGGGAAGAGCCUAAACCCGGGCGCGUGCGCCCGGGGGUAAUGGACUGCAGAAGUGUGCAUGGAAGCCAGGGGAACGGUUUUGGGAAAGCCGGCCACAGGGGGUGAAAGCCCCGUACCCGAAGGCGGAAGGCAGCGGCAGGAUCCGGAGUACCACGAGACACGUGGAACCUUGUGGGAAGUCGGGAGGACCACCUCCCAAGGCUAAAUACUACUUAGUGACCGAUAGCGCAUAGUACUGUGAAGGAAAGGUGAAAAGAACCCCGGGAGGGGAGUGAAAGAGAACCUGAAACCCUGUGUCUACAAGCUGUGGGACACCCUUAAGAGGUGGACUGCGUACUUUUUGUAGAACGGUCCGGCGAGUUAUGCAGUGUGGCAAGGUUAAGCGCGGGAAGCGCGGAGCCGCAGGGAAACCGAGCCUUAACUGGGCGCCACAGUCACACAGCAUAGACCCGAAACCGGGUGACCUACCCAUGCCCAGGCUGAAGCUGCUGUAAAAGGCGGUGGAGGGCCGAACACACAUCCGUUGAAAAGGGUGGUGAUGAGGUGUGGGUAGCGGAGAAAUUCCAAUCGAACCCGGAGAUAGCUGGUUCUCCCCGAAAUAGUUUUAGGACUAGCCUGCCGGGAGUCUGCUGGAGGUAGAGCACUGAAUUCCUGCGGGGGCGUCAAAGCCUACCAAGGGAUAUCAAACUCCGAAUGCCAGCCAGAUGCUCCGGCGGAGUCAGACUGCACGAGAUAAGUUGGGCGGUCAAAAGGGAAACAGCCCAGACCACCGGCUAAGGUCCCAAAGUGCGUGUUAAGUGGGAAAGGAUGUGGGGAUUCGAAGACAGCUAGGAUGUUGGCUCAGAAGCAGCCAUACAUUCAAAGAGUGCGUAACAGCUCACUAGCCGAGAGUCCCUGCGCCGAAAAUGUCCGGGGCUGAAACACGACACCGAAGCCGUGGAACUAUGCCAUGCAUAGUUGGUAGGGGAGCAUUCUUAACGGGGCGAAGCUGUACCGGAAGGAGCAGUGGACUGUUAAGAAGAGAGAAUGCCGGAAUGAGUAGCGAGAGAUAGGUGGGAAUCCUAUCGGCCGAAUAUCCAAGGUUUCCAGGGUAAAGCUGAUCUGCCCUGGGUAAGUCGGGGCCUAAGGCGAGGCUGGGAAGCGUAGCCGAUGGACAACAGGUUGAGAUUCCUGUACUCGGCGGUA
rnacentral:rRNA from 1 species